GCCUAGUUAGCUUGGAAAGUAGAGCGUCUUGUAAGCGCUAGGUCGCGGGUUGGAUUCCCGCCCGGGGCG
rfam:Asian citrus Psyllid, Diaphorina citri - Florida Strain, whole genome shotgun sequence.